rnacentral:rRNA from 1 species
UACAGAGGUCUCAAGCGUUGUUCGGAUUCAUUGGGCGUAAAGGGUGUGUAGGUGGCGCCGUAAGUCGGGUGUGAAAUUUCGGAGCUUAACUCCGAAACUGCAUUCGAUACUGGCGUGCUUGAGGACUGGAGAGGAGACUGGAAUUUACGGUGUAGCAGUGAAAUGCGUAGAUAUCGUAAGGGAAGACCAGUGGCGAAGGCGGGUCUCUGGACAGUUCCUGACACUGA